CUCUAACCCUGCUGGAGGCAGGGCUAUAUCUUUUAUUGGUUUUACAGCGGCCCGCAUCCAUAGGAACACCGCACUCGCUGGGGAAGGGGCCGGCGCAUCUGGCCGUGAUCAGCAGCAACUUAGGUAAGUUUAUUCUUUUGUUUAAGUGGCUGCACCAAUCGAGGGAAAAUUAAGGGAAUGAUGACCGGAAUCUAGCCCUAACCCUAGUAGGGGUACAGUUGGGGUUAGGUUAGGGAUAGGCG